GAUGAAGAACGCAGCGAAAUGCGAUACUUGGUGUGAAUUGCAGAAUCCCGUGAACCAUCGAGUCUUUGAACGCAAGUUGCGCCCGAAGCCACUAGGCCGAGGGCACGCCUGCCUGGGCGUCACACGCCGUUGCCCCCCCAUCUACUCCUUCGGGAUUGCGGGGGGGCGGAUGAUAGCCUCCCGUGCGCCUAGCCGCGCGGUUGGCAUAAAUACCAAGUCCUCGGCGACGCACGCCACGACAAUCGGUGGUUGCGAAACCUCGGUUGCCCGUCGUGUGCGUUCGUCGCGCAUCGAGGGCUCGAAAAAAUGCUCGGCUCCGGCUGGGCUUUCAACGCGACCCCAGGUCAGGCGGGGUUACCCGCUGAAUUUAAGCAUAUCAAUAAGCGGAGGA
rnacentral:misc_RNA from 1 species